UGAGUCGGCCGGGCGGCCGCGUCGGACGGUUCACCGUUCGCCGAGGAAGGUCCGGACUCCAUCGAGCAGGGUGGUGGGUAACGCCCACCCGAGGUGACUCGCGGGACAGUGCCACAGAGACAGACCGCCAGCGGCCCGUCUGGAGCGCGUAUGUACGCGCACCCAGCGGGUGCGGGUAAGGGUGAAACGGUGGUGUAAGAGACCACCAGCGCCGCAGGUGACUGCGGCGGCUGGGUAAACCCCACCCGGAGCAAGGCCAAGAGGGCGCGGUCCGCCGCGCCUGCGCGGGCGUACGAGGGCUGCUCGCCCGAGUUCGUGGGUAGGCCGCACGAGGGCAUCGGUGACGAUGCUCCGGAGAUGGAUGGUCGCCGGGGCGCGCAGGCGCUCGCACAGAAUCCGGCCUACAGGCCGGCUCAUCCA
rnacentral:RNase_P_RNA from 1 species